rnacentral:rRNA from 1 species
UACGUAGGGCGCAAGCGUUGUCCGGAAUUAUUGGGCGUAAAGAGCUCGUAGGCGGUCUGUUGCGUCUGCUGUGAAAACUCGGGGCUUAACCCCGAGCCUGCAGUGGAUACGGGCAGACUAGAGGUAGGUAGGGGAGAAUGGAAUUCCUGGUGUAGCGGUGGAAUGCGCAGAUAUCAGGAGGAACACCGGUGGCGAAGGCGGGUCUCUGGACAGUUCCUGACGCUGAGGCACGAAGGCCAGGGGAGCAAACGGG